rnacentral:lncRNA from 1 species
CUGUAUAGUCAUUCGACAAUGUAAACAUGUCGAAUUUACGGUCAAGGUCUUAGUAGGUGUGGAAACAACCAAAUCAAAAGGUAAAGGAGACACAGAUAACUUCAAGCGAUUCACACAAUCCAUAGCAAUGAAGGAAUGGGUUGCCCCCGAAUCAAAGAGUGCAGUUAGAGUGUUACCUGCAAUCUCACAGUCACGCUGAAUCAGAUUACCAGAUGGAUUCCCCUCUUCAGCACUCACACAAUAAAUGCG